rnacentral:rRNA from 1 species
GCGCGCGCAGGCGGUUUCUUAAGUCUGAUGUGAAAGCCCACGGCUCAACCGUGGAGGGUCAUUGGAAACUGGGGAACUUGAGUGCAGAAGAGAAAAGCGGAAUUCCACGUGUAGCGGUGAAAUGCGUAGAGAUGUGGAGGAACACCAGUGGCGAAGGCGGCUUUUUGGUCUGUAACUGACGCUGAGGCGCGAAAGCGUGGGGAGCAAACAGGAUUAGAUACCCUGGUAGUCCACGCCGUAAACGAUGAGUGCUAAGUGUUAGAGGGUUUCCGCCCUUUAGUGCUGCAGCUAACGCAUUAAGCACUCCGCCUGG